AGAUUGGUGAUGUUCAGGGAUAUGGCUGUAGACUUUUCUUAGGAAGAGUGGGAAUGCCUGGACUCUGCUCAGAAGGAUUUGUAUAGAGAUGUGAUGUUACAGAACUAUAGCAGCCCAAUUUCAGUGGAACGCUCGGUGAGACACGGAGGAGCGGCAGCUGCCCGAGCUGCGCCCAGCAACGCGCUCCUUCCUGCUCCCCAACACCGGCCUCUGCCCUCUCACCGGCUGUAGAAAAUGGUGAAAGAAACCACUUACUAUGAUGUUUUGGGGGUCAAACCCAAUGCCACCCAAGAGGAAUUGAAAAAGGCCUACAGGAAACUGGCCUUGAAGUAUCACCCUGAUAAGAAUCCAAAUGAAGGAGACAAGUUUAAACAGAUUUCUCAAGCUUACGAAGUACUCUCUGAUGCAAAGAAAAGGGAAUUAUAUGACAAAGGAGGAGAAUAGGCAAUUAAAGAAGGUGGAGCUGGUGGUGGUUUUGGCUCCCCCAUGGACAUCUUUGAUAUGUUUUUUGGAGGAGGAGGAAGGAUGCAGAGAGAAAGGAGAGGUAAAAAUGUUGUGCAUCAGCUCUCAGUAACCUUAGAAGAUUUAUAUAAUGGUGCAACACGAAAACUAGCUCUGCAAAAGAAUGUGAUUUGCGAUAAAUAUGAAGGCUGAGGUGGUAAGAAAGGAGCAGUCGAAUGUUGUCCCAAUUGCUGAGGUACUGGAAUGCAAAUAAGAAUUCAUCAGAUAGGACCUGGAAUGGUUCAGCAAAUUCAGUCUGUGUGCAUGGAGUGCCAGGGCCAUGGGGAACGGAUCAGUCCCAAAGAUAGAUGUAAAAGCUGCAAUGGGAGGAAGAUAGUUCGAGAGAAGAAGAUUCUAGAAGUUCAUAUUGACAAAGGCAUGAAGGAUGGCCAGAAGAUAACAUUCCAUGGUGAAGGAGACCAAGAACCAGGACUGGAACCAGGAGAUAUUAUCAUUGUUUUAGAUCAGAAGGACCACGCUGUUUUUACUCGGCGAGGAGAAGACCUUUUCAUGUGUAUGGACAUACAGCUGGUUGAAGCACUGUGCGGCUUUCAAAAGCCAAUAUCUACUCUUGACAACCGAACCAUCGUCAUCACCUCUCACCCAGGUCAAAUUGUCAAGCAUGGAGAUAUCAAGUGUGUGCUAAAUGAAGGCAUGCCAAUUUAUUGUAGACCAUAUGAGAAGGGUCGCCUAAUCAUUGAAUUUAAGGUAAACUUUCCUGAGAAUGGCUUUCUCUCUCCUGAUAAACUCUCUUUGCUGGAAAAACUCCUACCUGAGAGGAAGGAAGUAGAAGAGACUGAUGAAAUGGACCAGGUAGAACCGGGGGACUUUGAUCCAAAUCAGGAAAGAUGGCGCCAUUACAAUGGGGAAGCCUCUGAGGAUGAUGAACAUCAUUCCAGGGGUGGUGUUCAGUGUCAGACCUCUUAAUGGGGCCAGUGAAUAACACUGCUGGCAUUUUAUAUGCAGUAGUGAAUGAGUGAAGGACUGUAAUCAUAGCUCACUACUUGCUAUUGUUUUUGUUUUAAUAUUCAACUAUAGUCGUGUUUUAAAAGUUAAAUGAAGGGGCGCCUGGG